AUUGAACGCUGGCGGCAUGCUUUACACAUGCAAGUCGAACGGUAACAGGCCUUCGGGUGCUGACGAGUGGCGAACGGGUGAGUAAUGCAUCGGAACGUGCCCAGAGGUGGGGGAUAACGCAGCGAAAGCUGUGCUAAUACCGCAUGUGAUCUGAGGAUUAAAGCGGGGGACUACGCAGCAAUGAUUGGCCUCGCGCCUCUGGAACGGCCGAUGUCAGAUUAGGUAGUUGGUGGGGUAAAGGCCUACCAAGCCGACGAUCUGUAGCUGGUCUGAGAGGACGACCAGCCACACUGGGACUGAGACACGGCCCAGACUCCUACGGGAGGCAGCAGUGGGGAAUUUUGGACAAUGGGCGCAAGCCUGAUCCAGCAAUGCCGCGUGCGGGAAGAAGGCCUUCGGGUUGUAAACCGCUUUUGUACGGAACGAAAAGGCUCUGGCUAAUACCUGGGGCUGAUGACGGUACCGUAAGAAUAAGCACCGGCUAACUACGUG
rnacentral:rRNA from 1 species